rnacentral:rRNA from 1 species
GAUGAACGCUGGCGGCGUGCUUAACACAUGCAAGUCGAACGGAAAGGCUCCUGCUUGCAGGGGUACUCGAGUGGCGAAAGAGUGAGUAACACGUGGGUGAUCUGCCCUGCACUUCGGGAUACGCCUGGGAAACUGUGUCUAAUACCGGAUAGGACGAUGGUUUGGAUGCCAUUGUGGAAAGUUUUUCGGUGUGGGAUGAGCUCGCGGCCUAUCAGCUUGUUGGGGGGGUAAUGGCCUACCAAGGCGUCGACGGGUAGCCGGCCUGAGAGGGUGUACGGCCACGAUGGGAGUGGGAUCCGGCCCAGACUCCUACGGGAGGCAGCAGGGGGGAAUAGUGCACAAUGGGCGCAAGAGUGAUGCAGGAACGCCGGGUGGGGGAAGACGGGCUUAGGGUUGUAAACGCCUUGCGCUAGGGACGAAGCGAAAGUGACGGUACCUGGAGAAGAAGCACCGGCUAACUACGUG